rnacentral:rRNA from 1 species
CCAUCCGCCAGAGAACUACAAGUGAAAAACUCAAAACUCUAAGGACUUGACGGUGCCCCACACCGACCUAGAGGAGCCUGUCCUAUAAUCGAUACUCCGCGCUAAACCUCUCCCCCCCUAGCACCAAAUCAGCCUAUAUACCGCCGUCGCCAGCCUGCCUAGUGAUAGCCUUCCACAGCAGGCAGAACAGCCACCCCGCUAACACGUCAGGUCAAGGUGUAGCUCACGGGAGGGCCAGAGAUGGGCUACAUUUUCUAGCCCCCUAGAAAACACUACAGGCAACAUGAAAUCUAAGCCACCCGGCGGAUUUAGCAGUAAACUGGGCAAGAGGCGCCCAAUUGAAACAUGCCCUGGGGCGCGUACACACCGCCCGUCACCCUCCUCAACAAACCUUGCCCCCCCCCCCUAAAUAAAACCAACCAACCACCACAGAUGAGGCAAGUCGUAACAUGGUAAGCUCACCGGAAGGUGAGCUUGGCACACCA